rnacentral:rRNA from 1 species
UACCAGACUCCUACGGGAGGCAGCAGUGGGGAAUAUUGCACAAUGGGGGAAACCCUGAUGCAGCGACGCCGCGUGAAGGAAGAAGUAUUUCGGUAUGUAAAGCUCUAUCAGCAGGGAAGAAAAUGACGGUACCUGACCAAGAAGCCCCGGCUAACUACGUGCCAGCAGCCGCGGUAAUACGUAGGGGGCAAGCGUUAUCCGGAUUUACUGGGUGUAAAGGGCGUGCAGCCGGGCUGAGAAGUCAGAUGUGAAAUCCCGCGGCUCAACCGCGGAACUGCAUUUGAAACUGUCAGUCUUGAGUACCGGAGAGGUCAUCGGAAUUCCUUGUGUAGCGGUGAAAUGCGUAGAUAUAAGGAAGAACACCAGUGGCGAAGGCGGAUGACUGGACGGCAACUGACGGUGAGGCGCGAAAGCGUGGGGAGCAAACAGGAUUAGAUACCCCAGUA